AUUGAACGCUGGCGGCAUGCUUUACACAUGCAAGUCGAACGGUAACAGGCCGCAAGGUGCUGACGAGUGGCGAACGGGUGAGUAAUGCAUCGGAACGUGCCCAGUCGUGGGGGAUAACGCAGCGAAAGCUGCGCUAAUACCGCAUACGAUCUAUGGAUGAAAGCGGGGGACCGAAAGGCCUCGCGCGAUUGGAGCGGCCGAUGUCAGAUUAGGUAGUUGGUGGGGUAAAGGCUCACCAAGCCAACGAUCUGUAGCUGGUCUGAGAGGACGACCAGCCACACUGGGACUGAGACACGGCCCAGACUCCUACGGGAGGCAGCAGUGGGGAAUUUUGGACAAUGGGCGCAAGCCUGAUCCAGCAAUGCCGCGUGCAGGAAGAAGGCCUUCGGGUUGUAAACUGCUUUUGUACGGAACGAAAAGGCUCUGGUUAAUACCUGGGGCUCAUGACGGUACCGUAAGAAUAAGCACCGGCUAACUACGUGCCAGCAGCCGCAGUAAAAC
rnacentral:rRNA from 1 species